rnacentral:rRNA from 1 species
GAUGAACGCUGGCGGCGUGCCUAAUACAUGCAAGUCGAGCGAACAGACGAGGAGCUUGCUCCUCUGACGUAGCGGCGGACGGGGGAGUAACACGUGGAUAACCUACCUAUAAGACUGGGAUAACUUCGGGAAACCGGAGCUAAUACCGGAUAAUAUAUUUAACCGCAUGGUUGAAUAGUGAAAGACGGGUUUGCUGUCACUUAUAGAUGGAUCCGCGCCGCAUUAGCUAGUUGGUAAGGUAACGGCCUACCAAGGGAACGAUGCGUAGCCGACCUGAGAGGGUGAUCGGCCACCCUGGAAGUUGGCCACGGACCUGACUCCUACGGGAGGCAGCAGUAGGGAACCUUCCGCAACGGUCGAAAGCCUGACGGAGUAACGCCGCGUCAGUUAUGAAGGUCUUCGGAGCGUAAUACUCUGUUAUGAGGGAAGAACCAAUUUGUCAGUAACCAUGCACGUCUUGACGGUACCUAAUCAGAAAGCCACGGCUAACUACGUG